rnacentral:rRNA from 1 species
GAUGAACGCUGGCGGCGUGCCUAAUACAUGCAAGUCGAGCGAACAGACGAGGAGCUUGCUCCUCUGACGUUAGCGGCGGACGGGUGAGUAACACGUGGAUAACCUACCUAUAAGACUGGGAUAACUUCGGGAAACCGGAGCUAAUACCGGAUAAUAUAUUGAACCGCAUGGUUCAAUAGUGAAAGACGGUUUUGCUGUCACUUAUAGAUGGAUCCGCGCCGCAUUAGCUAGUUGGUAAGGUAACGGCUUACCAAGGCAACGAUGCGUAGCCGACCUGAGAGGGGGAUCGGCCACACGGGAACUGAGACACGGUCCAGACUCCGACGGGAGGCAGCAGUAGGGAAUCUUCCGCAAUGGGCGAAAGCCUGACGGAGCAACGCCGCGUGAGUGAUGAAGGUCUUCGGAUCGUAAAACUCUGUUAUUAGGGAAGAACAAAUGUGUAAGUAACUAUGCACGUCUUGACGGUACCUAAUCAGAAAGCCACGGCUAACUACGUG